CCCGACUGCUAUCAGAGUGAGAUUAAGCCAUGCGAGUUAACGUAGCAAUACGUGGCGCACGGCUCAGUAACACGUAGUCAACAUGCCCAGAGGACGUGGAUAACCUCGGGAAACUGAGUCUAAACCGCGAUAAGUGAGGAUUUCUGGAAUGGUUCCUGACUAAAAUCUAUAUGGCCUCUGGAUUGGACUGCGGCCGAUCAGGCUGUUGGUGAGGUAAUGGCCCACCAAACCUGUAACCGGUACGGGCUCUGAGAGGAGGAGCCCGGAGAUGGGCACUGAGACAAGGGCCCAGGCCCUAUGGGGCGCAGCAGGCGCGAAACCUCUGCAAUAGGCGAAAGCCUGACAGGGUUACUCUGAGUGACUUUCGCUAAGAAAGUCUUUUGGCACCUCUAAAAAGGGUGCAGAAUAAGGGGUGGGCAAGUCUGGUGUCAGCCGCCGCGGUAAUACCAGCACCCCGAGUGGUCGGGACGAUUAUUGGGCCUAAAGCAUCCGUAGCCGGUUCUGCAAGUCCCCCGUUAAAUCCAGCUGCUCAACAGAUGGGCCGCGGAGGAUACUACAGAGCUAGGAGGCAGGAGAGGCAAGCGGUACUCAGUGGGUAGGGGUAAAAUCCGUUGAUCCAUUGAAGACCACCAGUGGCGAAGGCGGCUUGCCAGAAUGCGCUCGACGGUGAGGGAUGAAAGCUGGGGGAGCAAACCGGAUUAGAUACCCGGGUAGUCCCAGCCGUAAACGAUGCAGACUCGGUGAUGGGUUGGCUUCGCGCUAACCCAGUGCCGCAGGGAAGCCGUUAAGUCUGCCGCCUGGGUAGUACGGUCGCAAGACUGAAACUUAAAGGAAUUGGCGGGGGAGCACCACAAGGGGUGAAGCCUGCGGUUC
rnacentral:rRNA from 1 species